CCAAACCCAUUUUGCUUUAUAAAAAGAAAUUAAACACACAUCACACACAAACAAACAGACAGACGCACACACACACCUGACACUAGGGCUGUAAACGAACCGAGCCGAACCGAAUACCUCUAGGCUCGGGCUCGGUUCGCGAAUUUUUGGGCAGGCUCGAAUUCGGCUCGAGCUCGAGAUCGAGCUUUAAAAUGAGCUCGAGCUCGGCUCGAUGAAAUAAUACUAAGUUCGAGCUCGAUUCGUAUUCGGUUCGUUAAUUAUUCGUUUAGUUCGAACUCGAGCUCGAACUCGAGCUUGGCUCGAUUUUAGAGUUCGAUUUCAAAACCGAACUCGAGCUCGAAUUCGAAUUCAGGCUCGAGUUUGAGCUCGGUUCGUGUAUUAAUAAUAUAUACAACCUAUUUUGUAGUUCACUCCACAAAUUUCAAUCCACAAUACAAAAUCACAAAAUAAAUCCCAAAAAAAGUAUCAAAAUUACAUAAUAAACAUAAUUUCAUAAAACAUGGCAUUGGGUCUUGAAUCUCCUUGCAAAUAGCAUCCUACAAAUAUAAAAAAUAUUCAAAUUAAAUAAAAACCAACAAAAAAGUAAUACAAAGAAUUAGACAAAUUCAAAAGAAACCAGUACUAACAGUUGGAACAGACACAGGGGAAAAAGAAGAAACAGAGAGGGUGAACUUGAUACUGCACAGUCUAAUAAUCGCCAGCGUUCCUACACUCAAGCGUAACAACUAGAGCAUCUGCUCACAAAUAGGUUUUUCAGGCUGCAUGUUUCCAUGUUUCCAUCUGCACUAAAUAGAAAUAUAAGCAUAGAGCCCAGAAGCCCACAAAUAAACACUUCAGGAAUGGCGAUAUCAACCUGUAAUAGUUCAAGAAGAUAUGAAACUAAUAGAUUAAACAAAAAAUAUAAUAAAGUCAGUAAUCAAACCAAGUAGACAGGUCCUAACAAGAGUUCUUUGAUUCAGGCAUCCCCUAUUUCAUAGGUAAACAAAUAGCAGGGAUAAAUUUUUUUUAGCAAGAACUAGAAUGCUUACCUGAUGAAAUUGUACAUGUGCAAAUGAACCUACUUCAUCCAUGUAUGCACUAAACAGAAGAAAAGAUGCUAAUGCUGCAGAACCAAUUGCAAAUCCCUUGCUCAAGCGUAAUAACACGACUAAAGAGAAAUUAGAAGAAUAUCAUAACACACUAAAAAUAUCACAAACUCAAAUAUUGGCUUCGCAUCCUCUGUAGCGUCAAAGUUUGGAAAUGGAGUGUAUGAGAAAGAAAAAUAAAUCCACAGCACAUUCAAGACAAGAGAAACAAAAAUCGAACAAAAUCAAAACAAAUCGAAACCCACUUAAGUAUUCCAAGAUCCGCCCGAGAUCUAUUCGCCGGUGGCUACAUAUUAGCUUUAGAUCUACAAAAAUAAAUCUAAAAGAGGGGAGGAGAGACCGAGAGGCGGUGGAACACCCAGAUCGGAGCCAAAAACCUACAUAUUCGUCGGUGGCUGGCGUCAGUGGUUGCUUCAGCGGUGGGAGGUGGCGUCAGUGGUUGCUUCAGCCAAAAUAUGAUUAGUAUUAUACUAAAGAUGUCUAAUUAUACAAGUAUCUUAUAAGUUAAUUGACCAAUUAAGUUGUAUUUAGCUUAUAUAACAAAUAUUAAAGUAUAAUUAAUAAAUAUUAAUGUAUUUAAAAGACAUACUUUAUAACGUUAUAUAAGCAUCUUAUAAAUUAGUAGUAUGAUUAUAUAUUUAAUAUAUAUAUAUUAUAAUAGUAAAUUUCAAAUUAUAACUUCUAUGAUUAGUUAUAACUUAUAAGUUAUAUUUUCUCUCCCAAAAAAUAUUAUAAGUUAUGUUUAUAUAAUAAGUAUUAAUGACUAAAGCCUAAACAUAUCCUAUACAAAUAUGAUUAGUAUUAUACUAAAGAUGUCUAAUUAUACAAGUAUCUUAUAAGUUAAUUGACCAAUUAAGUUGUAUUUAGCUUAUAUAACAAAUAUUAAAGUAUAAUUAAUAAAUAUUAAUGUAUUAAAGACAUCUUUAUAAGUUAUAUAAGCAUCUUAUAAAUUAGUAGUAUGAUUAUAUAUUUAAUAUAUAUAUAUAUUAUAAUAAUAAAUUUCAAUUAUAACUUCUAUGAUUAGUUAUAACUUAUAAGUUAUAUUUUAUCUCCCAAAAAAUAUUAUAAGAUAUGUUUAUAUAAUAAGUAUAUACUAAAGAUAUAAUGUAUAAAAUAUGAUUAGUAUUAUAAAGAUGUCUAAUUAUAUAUAUCUUGUACAAAAAAUUAUGUUAUAUAACAAAUUUCAAACUAUAAAAAGUUAUAUUUAAGUAUUUUAAAAGUUAAAUUGACUAAUUAAGAUGUAUUUAGCUUAUAUAAUAAAUAUUAAAUUAUAAUUAGUAAAUAGUAAUAUAAGACUAUAUAAGUUAUCUUCUUUUAGAAUUAAUAAAAUAAUUAUAAAUAUAAGAAUAUAUUAUAUAACUAAUUAAUAUUAUUAUAAUCAUAUUUCUAAUUAAUGAUGAUUUAUAAUUUUUAAUUUAUUUUUAAUAAAUAGAUACUUUGUAAACUUACUGAAAAUUAUUUGUUUUAACUAUUAUAAUUAUCUUAAUUAUUCAGAAAAUGAAAUAUAUAAAAUUAAUAAUUUAAUGAACCUAUUCGCGAACCUAUUCGCGAGCCUAUUCGCGAACCUAUUCGCGAACAUGUUCGCGAGCCUAUUCGUGAACCUAUUCGCGAAUAGGCUCGCGAAUAGGUUCGAGCCGAAUAGGCUCGCGAGCUCACGACCGAAUAUGUAAAGGCUCGAGUUCGGCUCGAUAAUUUUAUUCGAGCUCGGAUUCGGGCUCGAGUUCGGCUCGUUAAGAAAACGAACGAAUUUCGAACGAGCUUUUUUCGAGCCGAGCUCCGAAUAGUUCGCGAGCGGCUUGGUUCGUUUACACCCCUACCUGACACCACACACUAAUCACGCACACACAGCAGCCGCACGGCCCGCACCCUCAUCUCUCUCUCGGCUCCUCCGCCGCCGCCUGACGGCGCGCCGCCCGACGGUGGCCGGCGCUCCCCUCUCUCCCCCUACCUUCCUCCUUCUCCCUAACCCCCCUCUAUCUCUCUCUCGACUGGCAGCAGCAGCGACGUCCCUGCAUCGACCGCAGCUCUACCCAGCCGCCACCUCCCUUUAUCCAGAUUCGGCGUCACCGCCGCAUCCGCUUCGUCUGACAACAGCAUAGCAGCGCCGCCACCGUGACAGACGCCCCCUCCCUUCCCUUUUCCGGCUCGUCAAUGGCCCUCCCCCAAAACUCACCUCAAUUUUCCUCUGUCAUUCUAAUUUUUUUCUAAUUUCUUUUAUAAGAUGAAGUGAAGUUUUAUUCUUUCCUCAUGAAUUAGAAAAAUAACUAGGGAAGGAUGUUUACUUACGAGCUGUGUUCUUUGAUUUUGAUGUAUGGUGUACUGAAUUUGGCUUUGGGGUAGAGAUUAUUCAAAUAAAUU
rnacentral:lncRNA from 1 species